AUGGCACCGUUCGCCUACCUGAAGGCGGUGUCCUUGGGCUGUGGGGUGGAUAUGGUGUUUGGAUGUGUUGGUGGCUGCUGUGGCGGCAUUUCUCUUUAUCAACUUCUCAUCGUGUCGAUUUGUUUCGCGUUCCUAUCCUGUAGUGCGCGUCUCCUUCAUGGUUGUGCCAUGGCAACUAAAGUUUCUUGUGGACCACAAUGUGGUCUGUUGCAGCCUGUCCCAUGGUAUACCUGGUUGCCAUUUGUGAAUUCAGGUUCUUGGGGAACCACUUCGCUUGCCGAAGAUGAGAAGGUUGUGGCCUCCUACGGCGAGGAAGACGGAUUUCAUUAUGCCCAGCUUGUUCGUCAUGCAGGAAUUGACUUGGGCCUUCUCCUUUCACAUUGUUGCUUUCCACAAGUUCGGUGCUUGUCUGGUGCUGGUUGUGUUGGUGGACGAAGACCUUGA
rnacentral:rRNA from 1 species